ensembl:lncRNA
UUCACUUUGUAAGAAACACCAUUGAUAUUUCUCACUAUAACAGUACAAUUUUGAAUAGUUUAACUGACACAAUGUAUUUGCUCAAGCUUUAGACUGGAAGCAGUGGUGGAGGAAGUAUUCAGAUCCUUUAAUCAAAUAAAAGUACUACCAUGUUGAGAAAAAGAUACAUUGAAAUCUUACUUUACCAAAAAACACGACUAUGGGAGUAAUACAUUAUUUGUGACUUGCUCUUCUCUGUGAGGACUAUUGACAACGCCUGAAGAUGAUCCCGGUACACUUCUCCAAUUGUCUGGGAUUGAUCAGUG